UACGAAGGGGGCUAGCGUUGUUCGGAAUUACUGGGCGUAAAGGGCUCGUAGGCGGCCAACUAAGUCGGAUGUGAAAUCCCCAGGCUCAACCUGGGAACUGCAUCCGAUACUGGAUGGCUUGAAUCCGGGAGAGGGAUGCAGAAUUCCUGGUGUAGCGGUGGAAUGCGCAGAUAUCAGGAGGAACACCGGUGGCGAAGGCGGGUCUCUGGGCAGUAACUGACGCUGAGGAGCGAAAGCGUGGGGAGCGAACAGG
rnacentral:rRNA from 1 species